rnacentral:lncRNA from 1 species
CUCCUGCUCCAGCAGUACAAUGUGAUCCACCAGCAAGGAGGGACACCGUCAAGGUGUCUGAUAAGAUAAGUCUUAUAAAAUAUAUAGAUUUAUGAUAAUUAAGACUGAGCUAACAGAUGAGAAUCCUAGUCAUUGGCCAAGCAGCUUUGAAUGUAAUACAGGUUUCUGUGUAUUUAUUUGGGCCUAACUUGGGCAGGCGGCUGGCAUAAAGCUCACAUGUGGUGGUAGGGCUCAGGUGACUUAUGGCAGAAACAUUUAUCAUAACAGUGGGGGUUUUUUGUUUGUUUGUUUGUAUUUUUUUGUCUCUAUCUCAGCUUUCAAACCUUGCACUGUUUGAAAUGUUUCUUGCAAUUUUUGGUUUGUCUUUUCUUCCAUUUCUCUGAAGGAUUUUAUCAUUUCUUCUCUUAGGGUCUCUAUCAUCUGCAUGAAGUUGUUUUUUAGGUUGCUCUCUUCUGCUUCAUCUGUGUUGGGGUGUUCAGGUCUUUCUGUCAUUGAGUCCCUGGACUCUGGUGGAGUAAUAUUGGUUUCUCUGUUGUUGGAUGUGUUCUUUCGUGUUCCCAUCUUUUUUCCCAGUGGGUGCACGUGGUGUCUCUUCGUCAAUUUUCUCUUCUGGUGGGUUCAAAAGGGUCAGAUACUCUGAUGGGUAUCAAGGUGAGUGCAGGUGGGUCUGAGUUACUCCCUCUCCAGGUGAGUUGGAGAAGGACUAGCCCAGUGAUCUCAGCAGACUCAGGGUUGCUUGGUCCUCAGGGACCAAGUGGACCUGACUGUAGACCCAAGGACAGGAUUUCCCAGCAUGGGCAGGAGGAAGUUGGACCCAAGGCAGGGGCCAAAGCUCACCUUUGCCCUGAGUAGGGGCAAGAAUAUCCCUGCUAUCUCAGCAGACUCAGGGUUGCUUGGUCCUCAGGAACUGAGCAGUAGUAAGGACAUUUUAAAAUCCAAAAGAAGUAUUUGAAGUUCCAGCUCAUGAGUUAGUUAACCUAACUAAGCUCUCUAGCUAAAUAUCUUUCCUCUCUAUAACAGCAUAUUUGCUCAAUGACAUGACGUACUUUAUGGGUACUCUAAUCCAGAGCUAACCUGAUAUGGGUAUUUUUCCUCUAGUACAAGAAAACUGUCUGUACAAAAGAAAGGCAAAUAAUCUUACUUAUGUUGCAGUUUCACAAAAAAAGCCAUCAUCAAUGUGUUGAGGGCUAGCAAUAAUUAAGAGUUGAAGGAGUAUUAAUGGUGUUAUGAUUCACUUUCAACUGGGUGACAAAUUUGCUAAGGCAUUGGUAUGAUUUAUGUAGUUGCCCUUGACAACAUUCCUUUGAGGUAAUUAAUUAUUUUUUACAGGUGAUGGAACUGAGGCUUGAAGAAGAUAAAGAAGUUGCCCAGAUCAAAUAGUACCUAAAAAAUCCAGAAUCUGAGCUCAUAAAAGAUAAUAAGAAGGAGGUCAGAGGCAACCAAUGGCAAGUCUACAGGCAGAGCUAUCUCUAAAAACUGCAAAGAAAUAUAUAACCCAGAGUUCCUCAGCCAGCAACACCACCACACUUCCUUACAGCAAGUACAGGGCCUGCAAGAGUUUGUACCAGUUUGUGUGUGUGAUAUAUAUAUAUAUAUAUAUAUAUAUAUAUAUAUAUAUAUAUUAUGGCUGUUAGCUUGGUGUUUAUAUACAACUCCUCACAGUAGGAACAGUGGUUGAUCACUGAAAGUGGGGGUAGGGAAGACGACAUGCUCUGUUACAGAGAGGAGGCCAGUAGAAGAAACCUGGGCCACUUCUUUCAUCUCACAUGAGUAUCACAAAACUUCAUGCUUGAGUUCUCAUAAAGAGUAAGUGAGCACAUUACCCGGGAAAUUUUACAGAGAACCAUGUGCUUCAGGAAAGGCUGAAUGGCAAGACGAUGUCUGAGAAAAGAGGUCAGCAACACAUCACUGAAAUGCUUAACCUGACAGCACAUGAGAGGCAAAAGCAGAGUAACUUCCUGUUCUAUUGGCUUAAAUUGUAAACUGAGAGUUUCCACCCUUACUGCAUGUAUCCAGGAGAACCCAUUUAUCACAUUGGCCCUCAGUAAUC